UAUAUAUAUAUAUAUAUAUAAUAUUGAGCUUCUAUAUUUUUUAAGAGUACCAAGUUGUUGGUGCUUCUAAGUUUUCAGCCUUUGAAUGAAAAUUUGUAGAGUUAGGAUAAUAGUGGUCCUUUACAAUUUGGUGGGUGGUUGAUGAAAUGGCAUGAUCUAAGAGUUGGAAUUGAUCAAGAGAAUAGAUCUAAUGGUGGAAAACCUGCAAGCACU
rnacentral:lncRNA from 1 species